CCAUUGUGUGAAAGAUGAUUAGCAUUCGCAUUGAUGAAGACAGAAGAGGUCCCCAGGCCUAACAGCACACAUAAAGUAAGGCAUCUCUACCUACUUUGUACCAUCCCAUCAACAUGUUUC
rnacentral:ncRNA from 1 species